AACGAACGCUGGCGGCGUGCCUAACACAUGCAAGUCGAGCGCGAAAGGAGCAAUCCGAGUAGAGCGGCGCACGGGUGCGUAACACGUGGGUAAUCUGCCCUUGAGUUCGGGAUAACCAUUCGAAAGUUUGGCUAAUACCGGAUAAGCUUACGGGACCUUCGGGUCUUGUGAGAAAAGUAAGCCCUCUAUUUAUAAGGUUACACUCAUGGAUGAGCCCGCGGCCCAUCAGCUCGUUGGCGGGUAACGGCCCACCAAGGCAACGACGGGUAGCUGGUCUGAGAGGACGAUCAGCCACACUGGAACUGAGACACGGUCCAGACUCCUACGGGAGGCAGCAGUGGGGAAUUUUCCACAAUGGGCGAAAGCCUGAUGGAGCAACGCCGCG
rnacentral:rRNA from 1 species